GCCUGCUAAAAUGGGACAUGGACACAACGUAAAAAUUCAAAGUUUGAAAAAAACUGGAAUGGCUGUCUCUCAAAUGUGCUCCUUCCAUGUCCCCAUAUACCUGGCAAAGGUACUUAUGGGGAUAUUGCUGUACUCAGACGACAUAGCUGAGCAACAUAUGUAGUAUUAUACAGUCAUAGCACGCAUAAGGUUUGCAAAAUAUACUGUGCAAACUCACUUUGUGUGUCAAAAAGGCAGAAUAAAUGCUUAUUACCACUACACUUGGUACAAGCUAGCGGAAAAA